rnacentral:rRNA from 1 species
CCUACGGGAGGCAGCAGUAGGGAAUAUUGGACAAUGGGUGCGAGCCUGAUCCAGCCAUGCCGCGUGCAGGAAGAAGGCCUUCUGGGUUGUAAACUGCUUUUGCCGGGGGAUAAAAGACCCAUGCGUGGGGAAUUGAAGGUACCCGGUGAAUAAGCCACGGCUAACUACGUGCCAGCAGCCGCGGUAAUACGUAGGUGGCGAGCGUUGUCCGGAUUUAUUGGGUUUAAAGGGUGCGUAGGCGGCCCCGUAAGUCAGUGGUGAAAUACGGCAGCUCAACUGUCGAGGUGCCAUUGAUACUGCGGGGCUUGAGUACAGUCGAGGUAGGCGGAAUUGACGGUGUAGCGGUGAAAUGCUUAGAUAUCGUCAAGAACACCGAUAGCGAAGGCAGCUUGCUAGGCUGUAACUGACGCUGAGGCACGAAAGUGCGGGGAUCAAACAGGAUUAGAUACCCUGGUAGUCCGCACAGUAAACGAUGGUCACUCGGUGUUGGCGGUACACGGCCAGCGUCUAGACGAAGUCGUUAAGUCGACCGACGUGGGAGUACCGCCGACGAGGUAAGAACGUACGAAAGAGUAGUUAGUUACGGCGNGAGACGNGCGACGACGACGACGAGGAGGAGG